UACGUAGGUGGCAAGCGUUGUCUGGAUUUAUUGGGUUUAAAGGGUGCGUAGGCGGUUUUUUAAGUCAGUGGUGAAAGCCCGGAGCUCAACUCCGGAAUUGCCUUUAAGACUGCAUCGCUAGAAUCAUGGAGAGGUUAGUGGAAUUCCGAGUGUAGAGGUGAAAUUCGUAGAUAUUAGGAAGAACACCGGUGGCGAAGGCGGCCCACUGGAUCGGUACUGACGCUGAGGUGCGAAAGCGUGGGGAGCAAACAGG
rnacentral:rRNA from 1 species